UAGGAGCCACUGAGUGAUUAUAAGCAUUCUGUUGUUCUUGUCAGGACAUUGUUUCUGUAAUAGUUUUUUGUUAUCAAUUAUCACUUCCAGCACUUCAUUUAGCCUUCAUUGGGUUGUGAAACUUCGUAAGGAAAACUAGACAGGAACAGAGAGAAUUCAAAUGAACGGAGAAAGUGGCGAUGACCCCCGGCAUUCCUGGCUUUGAGCUGUUGUGAGUUCCUUCUGUGGUUCCACUCUCCCCUCUGCCCAGAGAGAGGGAGUAUAAGAGAUGAUUCCUGUGAUUUCAUUCAUCAUUUGGAGGAUUUAUGACCUCCAGUAACCUUCACAAGUCAGCUGGCCCAUGUGUCUGCCCCGUGCAGCUCCCCGCCUCCCUCCCCCUGCAGCAGCAAGAGCACCUCUUCUCAGGGAUAUCACACCACCGGGCAAGGAAAGGUCACAUCAUACCAACCCCGAUGCCUGAGGGACUCUGGGGGACUGCCGGGUGCUGUUAGUGGGAACACGGCCUCAGUUAUGAAAGACGCCAUUGUCCAGCCUGGCUCGCCAACAUAGAAAAUGAAUAAAUCAAAGAGGAGAGAUCAAGAGUGGAGGAGAGGAGGGGAUGGAGGGACCGGGAGACUAUCUGACAUCUGCAUUUGUAACUGGGUAUUUAGCUCUGGAGGAAUGUUGUUAUCAUCCACCCUCAAGUGCUGCAAUGGGGAAGAAUUUUGCAUUGAAUUAUAGCAUGGUCUGAUCACAUCUACACCUCCUGUCUGCCUCUGCAAAUAUACUCUCUGCAAACGUCAAGUUUGUAUCAGAGACACUUUUGUUUUUGUCAUGCAGUGUAAGAGGUCACAAAAUAUGUAAUGCAAAUCUGUUAACCUGUUAACAGUUUUAACCAAUCAUGUGCAUCCAUCUGGAUUGUUAAACCAGAUAUUUUGGAUGGACACAUCUCUAUUUUUGUUGAUUACGUUCAGAGACUACCUUUAGAUUUCUUCCUUCAAACAGCACUUGUCAUUGAUGUUUCAUUAUGUGGUUAAGCUGGGGCAUACAGUGAAUCUUGUUUACAUAUUAGUGCUCCGACCACAAAUAGAAAGACAAGACAUGCAUUCAUUCUUUGGAAAUCCUGCAGUUAUAGUCUUCAGCAAUCUACUGCCAUAAGUGAAUACUAAAAUGGGACUUUCCUGUCAAAUGAUCCAAGUGUUGAUAUGGCAGCACUGACGGUUUUAAGAAUAAAGGUGUCAACAUAAACACAAACCUGACCCUAAGAAGUUGGUAUUACUCAUUAGCAAUUUAUUCAAGUGACAUAAGGGAAUUCUGACACUAAUACUUUACAUGUAAUUGUAAAAUGUUCAAUGACAAGGUA